rnacentral:sRNA from 2 species
UUGGGGAGUAGCUUCCGGCAUAUCCCAGCCGGGGUCGCGUCAACACACUUGCUCCUGUCGUCAGGAGCAUGGCGCGAUCAGCGGAUCACCUCCGCCUAGCGAGACCAGCAUGCUGCACCUGCGGGGCCGGCCCGUGCGUGGAGCGUGCUGUCAUGCGUCCGGCCGA